CCUACGGGUGGCAGCAGUGAGGAAUAUUGGUCAAUGGCCGGAAGGCUGAACCAGCCAUGCCGCGUGAAGGUCAGUGCCCUAUGGGCGUUAAACUUCUUUUGUGCGGGAGCAAUAAUGGUCACGUGUGGCCAGACGAGAGUACCGUACGAAUAAGCAUCGGCUGACUCCGUGCCAGCAGCCGCGGUAAUACGGGGGGUGCAAGCGUUAUCCGGAUUUAGUGGGUUUAAAGGGUGCGUAGGCUGUGAGGUAAGUCAGCGGUGAAAUGCCCCCGCUCAACGGGGUGAAGGGCCAUUGAUACUGCCUUGCUUGAAUGCGGAUGCCGUGGGAGGAAUGUGUGGUGUAGCAGUGAAAUGCAUAGAUAUCACACAGAACACCGAUUGCGAAGGCGUGUCACGAAUCCGCAAUUGACGCUGAUGCACGAAAGCGUGGGUAUCGAACAGGAUUAGAUACCCGGGUAGUC
rnacentral:rRNA from 1 species